rnacentral:lncRNA from 1 species
GACGUUUGAAUAUUCGCUCAGUAAAUCCAUUCUCUUAUGACACCCUUACCUCAAUUCCCUUCUUCGCCUCAACAGCUAAAGCAUCCCUUUCUGCAGCUCCUGGAACAGCCGAAGAAUCUGGAGUUUAUGAUUCCAAUCCUGAGGCAGGAGAGGGAUAUUUAUAGCUCAGCUGGAGUUGAUUAUUCUACUAUUUUUCAGUUACUUCCGCUACUGAUAAA